rnacentral:rRNA from 1 species
UACGGAGGGUGCAAGCGUUAUCCGGAUUCACUGGGUUUAAAGGGUGCGUAGGCGGGUAAGUAAGUUCGUGGUGAAAUCUCUGAGCUUAACUCAGAAACUGCCGUGGAUACUAUUUGCCUUGAAUAUUGUGGAGGUGAGCGGAAUAUGUCAUGUAGCGGUGAAAUGCUUAGAUAUGACAUAGGACACCAAUUGCGAAGGCAGCUCACUACACAAUCAUUGACGCUGAGGUGCGAAAGCGUGGGGAGCAAACAGG